rnacentral:misc_RNA from 1 species
GAACGCACAUUGCGCCCCUUGGUAUUCCAUGGGGCAUGCCUGUUCGAGCGUCAUUUGUACUCUCAAGCCUAGCUUGGUGUUGGGUGUUUGUCUUUGCUUUUGCGUAGACUCACCUUAAAUAUAUUGGCAGCCGGUAUACUGGUUUGAAGCGCAGCACAUUUGCCAUUCAAGCUUGUUAUUAUCAGCACCCACAAAGUUUUUAAACACUUUUGACCUCGGAUCAGGUAGGGAUACCCGCUGAACUUAAG